rnacentral:rRNA from 1 species
AGAUUGAACGCUGGCGGCAUGCUUUACACAUGCAAGUCGAACGGCAGCGCGGGGCAACCUGGCGGCGAGUGGCGAACGGGUGAGUAAUAUAUCGGAACGUACCCAGAGUGGGGGAUAACGUAGCGAAAGUUACGCUAAUACCGCAUACGAUCUAAGGAUGAAAGCGAGGGUACCGCAAGGACCUUGUGCUCCUGGAGCGGCCGACUAUCUGAUUAGUCUAGUUGGUAGGGUAAGGACCUACCAAGGCUACGAUCAGUAGCUGGUCUGACGAGGACGACCGAGCCACACUAGGAACUGGAAGACACGGU